rnacentral:rRNA from 1 species
UACGGGGGGAGCAAGCGUUGUUCGGAAUUACUGGGCGUAAAGGGCUCGUAGGCGGCCAACUAAGUCAGACGUGAAAUCCCUCGGCUUAACCGGGGGAACUGCGUCUGAUACUGGAUGGCUUGAGUUUGGGAGAGGGAUGCGGAAUUCCAGGUGUAGCGGUGAAAUGCGUAGAUAUCUGGAGGAACACCGGUGGCGAAGGCGGCAUCCUGGACCAACACUGACGCUGAGGAGCGAAAAGCCAGGGGAGCAAAGCGGGG